GAUGAACGCUGGCGGCGUGCCUAAUACAUGCAAGUCGAGCGAACAGACGAGGAGCUUGCUCCUCUGACGUUAGCGGCGGACGGGUGAGUAACACGUGGAUAACCUACCUAUAAGACUGGGAUAACUUCGGGAAACCGGAGCUAAUACCGGAUAAUAUAUUGAACCGCAUGGUUCAAUAGUGAAAGACGGUUUUGCUGUCACUUAUAGAUGGAUCCGCGCCGCAUUAGCUAGUUGGUAAGGUACGGCCUACCAAGGCGACGAUGCGUAGCCGACCUGAGAGGGUGAUCGGCCACACUGGAACUGAGACACGGUCCAGACUCCUACGGGAGGCAGCAGUAGGGAAUCUUCCGCAAUGGGCGAAAGCCUGACGGAGCAACGCCGCGUGAGUGAUGAAGGUCUUCGGAUCGUAAAACUCUGUUAUUAGGGAAGAACAAAUGUGUAAGUAACUAUGCACGUCUUGACGGUACCUAAUCAGAAAGCCACGGCUAACUACGUG
rnacentral:rRNA from 1 species